rnacentral:lncRNA from 1 species
AGCAAUGCUAGCACCCUACACUAAUUUUCUUGCUUGACUAUACAACUAACUAUAAUCUACUAUACAUCACUUGCUUUCAUUUUUAUUUUUUUAUGCUUUUCAUCUUCUUUAAUUUACUUUUCUCCUUUCACUUUUUUUACCUUUUUAUAUAUUGUGGCUUUUUCAAAAUGGGGGUAGUCACAACCUUGGCCGAAUUUUGAAGUAAUCAGUCUCCAACCCACACCUCAAACCUAAUAAAGGUUGGGAAGGACGUAGAUCUCAAGGGUCGCCACACGUGUUUAAGUUGUAACCAAACCCCAUGACAUGUUUAUUUGUAGCAACCUAAUUAGGACUCACCCCGUCCAUUUUGCCUUCGUAUCAAC